CAAGAUUGCGCAAUGACGAGUUUUUAAUUUUGUUCGUUCUGCGCAUCUACGUCUCGGUUGACCAACUUACAAUUAGCUGAUUUUCAGUUGGUUGUUUUUCUUUGCAAUAAGAAGCAAUUUUGUAUUGCAGGCAUACAAAAUCAUGAAUAUCAUCAAAUUUGACAUCAAUAUAAGGAAUUCGUCGCUGUCGCUUUCCCUGCAAGACGGAGGUAACAGAUUGCACAAACACAUUGAAACAUUUUCAGCUGUUCACUAACACUGUUACAUUUUCUGGAAUUUUCAAUUGAAUGGGAGAUUACGUAAAAUAGGAAAGACGAAUACCCAAUUUUUCAAGAAGAAGAAAACGAAAAGCGCAGUUUAUUUUGGAUUUUAAAGAAAGAAAUCGAAAAAGCUUCACAAGGAGAAAAAGGAAUCAUUUGGAGAAUUCAAAUAUAUUGCGUACAACAAACAAAUAAGGGAAUAUAAUCCAGAAGCUGGAUGCCAUUGAGACCCGUCUCACUGCAAUUGAAAAGUCCCUAACAGACAAAAUGCCAGAGAAGGCCGAGGUGCAGGCGCAAAGUAAAUUAGUGCGCGAAUGCCGCGUCAUAGCGCCAGUUGAUUAGUUCUAAGUUGAAGUUUCUUAUUUUACUUUAACAAAUAUGAAUUUGUAGCAUUAUAACUUUUAUACUGAAAUAACUUGUAUUUUUUUUCUGCCGAAUGAUUUUGAUAUUAUUAUUUAAUAA